AAAACGGCUCUUUUCAGAGCCACCCAUUCGUCAAAGAGAUCCAAA
rfam:Ciona savignyi cont_10648, whole genome shotgun sequence.